rfam:Bacteroides sp. CAG:927 genomic scaffold, scf68
UACCUUUGCAGUGCUUUUGGUGCCGGUUAUGCCGGUGAAAAGGGAAUCAGGUGUGAAUCCUGAGCAGACCCGCUGCUGUAAGUCCUCUAAAGCAAGCAUGGCUUCUACGCCACUGUGCCUCCGGGCAUGGGAAGGUUGCCUGUUUGCGGACAAGCCAGAAGACCUGCCAACGAGCAUAUCUUAGU